rnacentral:rRNA from 1 species
UACGUAGGGGGCGAGCGUUGUCCGGAAUUAUUGGGCGUAAAGGGCGUGUAGGCGGCCGAUCAAGUCAGGUGUGAAAUUCCAGGGCUCAACCCUGGACGUGCACUUGAAACUGGUUGGCUUGAGCGCAGAAGAGGAAAGUGGAAUUCCCAGUGUAGCGGUGAAAUGCGUAGAUAUUGGGAGGAACACCAGUGGCGAAGGCGACUUUCUGGUCUGUAACUGACGCUGAGGCGCGAAAGCUAGGGGAGCAAACAGG